ACGGGAGGCAGCAGUGGGGAAUAUUGGACAGUGGGCGCAAGCCUGAUCCAGCGACGCCGCGUGAGUGAAGAAGUAUUUCGGUAUGUAAAGCUCUAUCAGCAGGGAAGAUAAUGACGGUACCUGACUAAGAAGCUCCGGCUAACUACGUGCCAGCAGCCGCGGUAAUACGUAGGGAGCAAGCGUUAUCCGGAUUUACUGGGUAUAAAGGGCGUGUAGGCGGGACAGCAAGUCAGAUGUGAAAGCACGAGGCUCAACUUCGUGUCUGCAUUUGAAACUGCUGUUCUUGAGUGCUGGAGAGGCUAACGGAACUCCUAGUGUAGCGGUGAAAUGCGUAGAUAUUAGGAAGAACACCAGUGGCGAAGGCGGUUAGCUGGACAGUAACUGACGCUGAGGCGCGAAAGGGUGGGUAGCAAACAGGAUUAGAUACCCUGGUA
rnacentral:rRNA from 1 species